rnacentral:rRNA from 1 species
AUACGGAGGAUCCGAGCGUUAUCCGGAUUUAUUGGGUUUAAAGGGUGCGCAGGCGGGAGAUUAAGUCGGCGGUGAAAUUUUUCAGCUCAACUGUAAAAGUGCCUUCGAAACUGGUUUCCUUGAGUGUAGAUGAAGUAGGCGGAAUUUGUGGUGUAGCGGUGAAAUGCAUAGAUAUCACGAGGAACUCCGAUUGCGCAGGCAGCUUACUAAACUACUACUGACGCUCAGGCACGAAGGCGUGGGGAUCAAACAGGAUUAGAUACCCUGGUAGUCCACGCAGUAAACGAUGAUUACUAGCUGUUUGCGAUACAAUGUAAGCGGCUGAGCGAAAGCGUUAAGUAAUCCACCUGGGGAGUACGUUCGCAAGAAUGAAACUUAAAGGAAUUGACGGGG